CUCAACUCCGCAAUGGCAUCCAGUUAGAUAAUUUGCCCACGAGGCAAAUUUGAGUUCACCUCUCAUCGUCAUCUUCUAUGUGCUGUUUACUCUCUGCAAGAGAGACAGAGAGACUAGAUCUGUCUUUCAACAGUACUGCAAGGACAGAAACCAGAGCAGGAGGCUUUAAUAAUGCUGUGGAAGAGCAACAAGCUACCCUUCUGUACAUUACACAGGUGGGACAGACUUGGCGGGGUGAGAAUUCGCUUGGAGAGAGAUGUCCACACCCAGUCCCAGUAAUAAGAUGACGGAUGAGAUCCAGACAGCAAUAAACCAAAUGAGGCAGGCCACCUGAGAGAUGCUUUGCUUGUAACAGAAAGAAUGGAAGAGCAGUGGACUGCUCUAUGCAGCCUUCCUGGGUGUUUCUUCAAUUAAAGCCCAGGGGAAGACAUUAUGAGAACAGAUCUGCCGUGCUGUUCCUGCUGGCUGUUUGAAGAGCCUUGACUUUGAAGCCCAAAGAGAAAUUCAUUUCCCAGGCUUUGCAAUUCAUUGAAAGAUGAGGCUGAUGACCACAGAAAGGGUCGAUCAGAUUAGCCCUUGAUGACCCCUGUGUUUGUGUCUUUAAUGAGCAUUUUGCAAAAUGAUGUUUCCAGUUUUUAAUGCUGUGCCUCGCAUGUGAGAUCAUACAGGAUAUUAGUUUUGAUUGUCUGGUGCCACAAGGAUUGCAAUUGAUUCCGCCUUCCCCCAACCCCACAUAUCUCCUUUCUGUCUUGGCUUCCUCUGCCUUAGUGCAAACCUUCUAACAAUAUAUGCAUGCCAACCUCUAAGAAUGCCUUACAGUACUGAUCUCAAUGCCACAUUGGGCAUUUUUUUUCUUUUACUUCAUUCAGUACGGAGGCUAAUAUCUUGUUGUCUUUUGUCUGAAACCACAGAGCAUGAAGUCAGGAAUUGUUCCACCCUCUGACAGUUUGCCUAGAGAGAGAGAUGA